rnacentral:rRNA from 1 species
GGGUCAGUAGGUUGGUCGUGCCACCGGUACGUACUGGUCCCACUGAUUCCUCCUUCCUGAAGUACCGUAAUGCCAUUAAUUCGGUGUUGCGGGGAAACAGGACUGUUACUUUGAAAAAAUUAGAGUGUUUAAAGCAAGCUAACGCUUGAAUACAUUAGCAUGGAAUAAUGAAAUAGGACGAUCGAUCCUAUUUUGUUGGUUUCUAGGAUUGACGUA